rnacentral:piRNA from 1 species
UCUGAAUGGGCUGAUUGAAAUUA